UGAUGAGGUGAUCACACAUGGCUGUUUUUAAUUAAACAUUUCCAAUCUCCCCACCACCCCCAAGCUUCUGAGGCUCUCUUGGGAUUCCUUUCCUGUGGUGAAGCCAUUGGGGGCCGUCAGAAAGGAAGGGUGGCGGCAGCAAUUUUUGGAAAUCAAUCCCUCUCUUACCUCAUGGUUCACAAUGAAAGGAAUCCCAAUGGAUUUAAUUUAUGAAAACUCACCACAUCAUCAGCCUUAUGCAAGGUAAAGCCACAGAAUUUCAGCCAUUUAGUAUGGAAUAUUUGUUGCUAGGUAUAUUUUGUUAUGACCCUAUUAACUGAAGUUUGUAUAUUGAACAAGAUGGUUUUUGAUGUUUAAUCCAGAUAUAAGAGAUGCACCAAUUCAGAGGGUGGGAAAAGUUAGGUGGAGAAUCUGCAGAGCUGCUGCAGCGUAGCUUCAGUUGUCAACACUGGAAUAUGGUACACUGGAAAGAAACACACCCCCUCCAAAAAAAAGGCCUCUGCACAUCUACAAAGCCAGCUCCAGAAGGUUGGAAGAAUCCUGGGGCUAGGUUUGGGGCAGCAUAUAGGGCUUUAAGGAGGAAGGGAAGAACACACUACAAGUGUCACCAGCUGGAUAAAAAUUCAGCAGUAAUGUGCACCCAGAGACAAAUGGAAGCAGGCUGUUUCCCAAGGGGCUGGCAGCUUUUGCAAAAGAGAAGGCAGGAUGCAGAGAGUGAGGAGAGGAAGGGCAUAUUUGUGACCAAAUGGACCAAAACUGGAGCGAUCUAAUGCCAAUGUGUGGUUGACCAGAUCACAACUACAUGGGCUGCAGGAGCAAUUUUCAAGUGAUCAGAAGGAGUAAUCUAAUCAAGACCCACAGUUCUAAACAAACCCAGACUAGAUGUUUCCCUUUCAUUAAUGUAGCCAUAAUUUCAGUUACAGUUCAGGUUCAGCUGCUCUCAGAAGCUUCCAACAGCACGAAACAAGACAAUUAUAAUACCCAGUGCCUGAACCUGAAGUUUAAUAAUGAUCUGCAGCAGCAAUUUGUAUUUUCUUUAAAAGCUGCCAUGCAAUACUUCCUAUUUCCUUGUCCUGAUGCUCUCACUGUCUCUGCUAAUGAGCUUGUUUGUUCAGUUCCAACAGGCCUUUGGGCUUGCAUCUCCCACCACUGGCUAACCACCCAGUUUGCAGAUGCUCAAGCAAUGAGAAAGGCCAAGAUUCACUGACUCUAAGUUG
rnacentral:lncRNA from 1 species